AUUUUGAUUGGGUCAUUGUUGUUUGAUUUGGGCAAUUUGGUAAUGCUUUGCUAUGUGUUUAUGGGUGAAAAAGAUAACAAUGUUUCUUGUUUGAGAGAUUGACUCAUGGAAGUUGUGGUUUGUGGCAAGUAAUUUACUACUAUUUGUGUGUGUUUAUGGGUUAUAGAGCUUCAUUUGAAAUAUAGAUACAAUUUAUUGUUUACUCCAUGGAAAUACGUAGCAUC
rnacentral:lncRNA from 1 species